GGGCUUGUGGUUUAGUGGUAUAAUACUCCCUUAGCACGUGACAAAUGAUCCAGACCUAGAUGGCUUGCCGUUGAUGGAAUGAUAAUCAUCAAUUGUCAAGCUUGGGAGUGGUCCGGGGUUCGAUUCCCCGCGAGUCCA